GAUCACUAACAGUUGUUGUUGAUUUAAGCCUUCAGAGACUGCAGAGUUUUCCAUCAAUUCUAUACCUUAUGCAGAUUCUCUUUUGAGGGUUGUGUAAUUCAGAAUGGAUGUGAAAAAAGAGACCAAGAAACACCACUUUAUCCUGUAGAACACAAAGCUGUCUUUGAGCCUUGGCUUGCAGAGCUGCUUCAGAGGCUUGAAGAAUGGCUGAUUUGAAGAAAUCCCACUUUUCCAGUGUGUUAUUCGGUGAGGAGGCAAUGCUAUCCAUUUUUCCUCCAUGUUUUCCCUCAGUUUUUCUGGAUGAAAUGGGUGUCUCAGCUUUGUUAUGUUCAAUUUUGGUUUAAUCUGUUCAGCAUUGUUUUGCUUACCAUGGACAUUGAAAAUGGCUCUGAUCAUCCUGUGGUAAAUCCAACAGUUAGCCCCUCACAUUGCUCUGGUGAUUUUGACGUCCUUUAUGUCUCUUGGCUGUAUAAUG